CACACAGGGGGCCAUCGGGGUGGUCACGGAGGGGCUGCGGAGUGUAGUGAUCAGGGGACAAGGGUCCCAGGCGCAGCUGCCUGCCCUAAGCAAAUAGCCCAGCUCUCUGGGGUUUGGUUGGGCCAGUCAGUGGACUGAGGGGCAAGUGUGCAGAAUCUUCAGGAGCGGGCCGGCCCAGCGGCUUUCAGUGAUAAGGCGUCGAGGCUGGUGGGUCCUGGCCCUGGGCACUGAGUGGGGUAGACCACCCCCCUCUGCCUCCCCGGCAACACGGGUUGCAGGGAACACCCGCCCAGGCUUGUAGGCCAGAGACACCGAGGCAGCAACAGGUUUGAGAGUGCUUUGAAGAGAAGCUGUUGUUGUGGGGGGACCUGGCAUUUCCAGUGACUCUGCCUGGAGGCUCGGGUGACAGCAGUGACUGGGCCACUCCUCUCAGGAGUGCUGUUCUGAGGAGCCUGGCACGGAAGCGGCCCAGUAGAGAGGAGGCAGAGGAGGUAGCCGGAAAGGGCUGGGCCUUCCUGCCAUGCCCUGGCUCCAGCGUUCUGGCAGGGGGCGCACACUGGUUUCUGGGGGGCUUUUCUAGUUGCUGUUCUGUGAACUAGCAGUUACUACCCCCUACACCACCCCCGGCCCACAGUGAGAACCCCCUACCCACGGUGGAGAUCGCCAUCAGGAACACAGGUGAUGCUGACCAGUGGUGCCCCCUGCUGGAGACUCUGACAGACGCUGAGAUGGAAAAGAAGAUCCGCGACCAGGACAGGAACACAAGGCGUAUGAGGCGUCUUGCCAACACUGCCCCAGCCUGGUAACCAGCCCAUCGGUGCAUGGCUCCCACGGAGCGUUCGGAAGAUGGGACCGCCUCUCCUUCAUCUUCUGGCAAGCAGGAAGGCAAAGGGGGCAGGCCGGGGCCAUGAGGAGCUCCAUGAGGAGCAUGGGGUGUUGGGAGGGCUUCCGGUCACCCUUUGGUGGGCACACAUUCCAUUUGUUGAGCCCAGUCCCCACCCAAGUCUCUGGUCAGAAAGAGGCCUCGUUUUUGGGUUGUGUUUUGUUUUUGUAUAGGAGCCCCAGGUAGGGCUAGCAACACUUUUUAAAUAAAGACAACAGGUCAUGUUCCAUUUUUUCAAA